rnacentral:rRNA from 1 species
AUAUCAAUAAGCGGAGGAAAGGAAACUAACAAGGAUUCCCCUAGUAACUGCGAGUGAAGCGGGAAGAGCUCAAAUUUAAAAUCUGGCAGUCCUUGCUGGCUGUCCGAGUUGUAAUUUAGAGAAGUGCUACCCGCGCUGGACCGUAUACAAGUCCUCUGGAAUGGGGCGUCAUAGAGGGUGAGAAUCCCGUCUUUGAUACGGACUACCAUGUGCUUUGUGGUGCGCUCUCGAAGAGUCGAGUUGUUUGGGAAUGCAGCUCAAAAUGGGUGGUAAAUUCCAUCUAAAGCUAAAUACAGGCGAGAGACCGAUAGCGAACAAGUACCGUGAGGGAAAGAUGAAAAGAACUUUGGAAAGAGAGUUAAACAGUAC